UUUCACAACUUCAGCAAAAGCCAAAGCAGCCAACAAAGCCACAGCCCCAUCGGCUGUACUGGGCUCUGCCUUUUGGGCAGCUCGCCGGCCACUCCCCAAAAGCAGAGCAUUCCAUCCUUUCUCUUUUUAAACCCACGUCAUCAUCUGAUCAUAAUGGAAAUCAAUCUCCUCAAACCACCAUGCAAAGGCGUAUCCAUGGCAACCUCAAAAGGAAGGACACAGAGAUGAUGCUUCAGUGGCUGCAGCAGGAAAAGCUUUCCGCCUCUCAGUACCUUAAGUAUACCCGAGUAGCCAGUGAUCAAUAUGGGUUUGCUGCUCUCCUCACUGCAAUAAAUGAGGGAAACCUGUAGCUCAGUAUGGAUUCAGGGGCGCCUCGGACGCUCGCAGCAACGGAAGGGAGACCCUUGCAGUUCUGGAGGAACUCUAAGGCGCAGUCACUCUGAUCCCAAGAGAACCCUGCUAGGCUGAAGAGCUGAGGUGGGUCAGACGGGCCUCGGGGCAAACGCUCAGGCGGAGCCCCCAGACCCCGGCAAGCGCCCACCCCUGAUCCAGCCCAUCCCUGCCAGUCCCCGCCCCGCACACCGGGCUCAGU